AUUGAACGCUGGCGGCAGGCCUAACACAUGCAAGUCGAACGAGCGGCGGACGGGUGAGUAAUGUAUGGGGACUGCCCGAUAGAGGGGGAUAACUACUGGAAACGGUGGCUAAUACCGCAUACUAUCGGAUAACCCAUAUGGGAUUGGAUCGUAGGUGGGGUAAAGGAUCACCUAGACUAGGAUCUCUAGCUGGUCUGAGAGGAGGAUCAUCCACACUUGGACUGAUACACGGCCCAGACUCCUACGGAGGCAGCAGUGGGGAAUAUUGCACAAUGGGCGCAAGCCUGAUGCAGCCAUGCCGCGUGUAUGAAGAAGGCCUUAGGGUUGUAAAGUACUUUCAGCGGGGAGGCGUUACCCGCAGAAGAAGCACCGGCUAACUCCGUGCCAGCAGCCGCGGUAAUUC
rnacentral:rRNA from 1 species